rnacentral:miRNA from 1 species
UUCAGGCGCUUUCUAGUUUAGU